ACAAACUUGCUUUGGCGGUGGGCCCAGCCUGCCGCCAGAGGUCUAAACUUACAACCAAUUUUUUAUCAACUUGUCACACCAGAUUAUUACUUAAUAGUCAAAACUUUCAACAACGGAUCUCUUGGUUCUC
rnacentral:rRNA from 1 species